rnacentral:lncRNA from 1 species
UUGUGAGCCAGAUCAAAACCCUGUCCUGGGGAGACAAUUGGGUAUGUCCAGGUGCAGUUGUUCAAUGUGAUUUAGUCCCUACCAGGAGGUCUGGUUGCCUGGGUUCAGAACAGCAGAGGAAAAAUUAGACAAAAGACACAUUCAGAAGUCAAGGUGCUCUGACAGUUCAGCAGACAUAUGACCUAACUUCAACCAGCAGACAGGAUCUGACCUAGGAAAGAUGAAGACAAAAACCAGAUCUCAAACAGAUGUAUUGUAGUUCAAGGUAGGGCAAUCAGACCUGUAGGAAGACUGAGCAGGCCACUGAAUUGGGCCCCCGAAAGAGAAGCCCAGACAUGAGGACUGGACCCACCCAGGAACUGGGAGUAAAGCAAUUUGGGGACAGUUGGGUCCUAGGCCUCGCCUCUAGGAAACCUGGAUUGCCCAGUCGGUGCUGAAGGUGUCUCAGAUCUGCUUGGAUCUAUAAUAUUGGACCUGAGUUCAUCCAUCAUACAAGAUUGAUGAUCCCUGCAGAAGUUAAAAGUCUAGGAAUAAGAAAUUUGUGAAUGUGUUUUGCCACUUCAAUUGCCUCUACUGAUCAAGAAAGCAAAGACCCCCUAAACUUCAGGGCAAAAAGUGAAGAAUAAAUUUGAUUUGUGUUAGUGCCAAUACAGUUUUGAGUAUGUGUGUAGCUUUGAUGUGAUU